GUGGGCUACGGGGACAUGAAGCCCAUUACAGUGGGAGGAAAGAUUGUGGGGUCCUUGUGUGCCAUUGCGGGUGUCUUAACCAUUGCUUUGCCUGUGCCGGUGAUUGUGUCUAAC
rfam:Mesocricetus auratus contig007673, whole genome shotgun sequence.